rnacentral:rRNA from 1 species
AGCGAACGCUGGCGGCAGGCUUAACACAUGCAAGUCGAACGCCCCGCAAGGGGAGUGGCAGACGGGUGAGUAACACGUGGGAACGUACCCUUUGGUUCGGAAUAACUUGGGGAAACUCAAGCUAAUACCGGAUAAGCCCUUAUGGGGAAAGGUUUACUGCCGAAGGAUCGGCCCGCGUCUGAUUAGCUAGUUGGUGAGGUAAUGGCUCACCAAGGCGACGAUCAGUAGCUGGUCUGAGAGGAUGAUCAGCCACACUGGGACUGAGACAUGGCCCAGACUCCUACGGGAGGCAGCAGUGGGGAAUAUUGGACAAUGGGGGCAACCCUGAUCCAGCCAUGCCGCGUGAGUGAUGAAGGCCCUAGGGUUGUAAAGCUCUUUUACCCGGGACGAUAAUGACUGUACCGGGAGAAUAAGCCCCGGCUAACUUCGUGCCAGCCGCCGCUGUAA